rnacentral:lncRNA from 12 species
GAACGUCCCGGGGGCCAUCAAACCUCUGCCCAGAGGCUCAAGUGCCCAGGUUGUGGCAAGACCAGCAGUCGGAAAGGGGGCUGUGGCUCUGAGCCCCCCAACAGGCAGCGGCCUGGGUGGACACGGAGCCCCUGAUGGCUCUCAGCCAGCAACACCCUUACUGAAGAAUGGAGUGGGCCUGCCGAAGAGCCGGAGAGGGGCAGGAGCGCGGCCUUGUCACACGGGAGCCCGGGGCGGCACAUUCCCCGUCCCACCCGGCACGGGACGGGACGCAGCUGUCCUCUGGGAGCAGCACCUCUCCCAGCGAAAUCCAGGUCCACAGGAUGCCCUCGGGUGUUGAGCAGCUCUGUGUCUGCCUGGGCCCCGGAUCUGCUGAGAGCAAACGUACAACUUUCUUGGGAAAACGCACCGGGUGGAGGAGUCAGCUCAGGGAAGUCAUGGGUGUCGAUUCAGGACCGGCCUGGCCCCCCAGAGGUAAGAGCAGCAGGCCCAGAACACGGAUGCCAGCCCCAGGCUGCAUCCUGGCACCCCCUGUAGUGACGGAGGGAAGGGGCAGGCUUCCCCAAGGAGCUCCAGGCUGGGGGUCAGGGCCCAAUCCCAGACGCUGGGGCACAGUCCCAGGCUUUCCCAGGAAAGGACUCUAGGAAGUAGAAGUCAUCCACACUGUACACUGUACCACCCUAAAUGACCUAUGACACACGAAGACUUUCUAGAAAGUUCUGCUUGCCUUAGCCUCCUAUCCCAGGCCCUGGCUGAGCUCCAGGCCCCUGUCCUGGGGAGAGAGCAGAGAGCAAACCUGAAUGGGUGUGUGCCAGGCAUCACCCCCACAACAACCCUGUGAGGUAGGCUGCGUUGUCCUAUCUUACAAAUGGAGAACUGAGGGCUCACAGGAGGAAGUGACUUGCCUGGUCAUAC